rnacentral:lncRNA from 1 species
GAGAGCGCGCGUGCACAAGCUGGGGCGUUGGCGGGGGACCCGGCGCCCGUCACCACGUGUCACCACCGAGCCAAGGGCGAGGCUCAACCGACCAGCCGCGGGCGCCCCUGGCCCUCUGUCCCUCUCGCGGAUCCCCAGCGCCUGCGCAUCAGAGCCGCAUGUUUUCAGUGGACCUGCGCCCCCCAACAGAACACGGGGGGCUCCGAACCCUCGGGCCUCAGCGUGUGGCCCACUGUGACACGGGCCUUCACGGACCUAACGGGGGGAGGGUGGCCCUCACCCGCCAGGACCCUUAUCAGAAGGGGAAAUUGCACCGCAGAGACUCGGGCGUGUUCGGCGUCAAGAUGCCGAGGUCGGAGCGCUGCUUCCAGGCCACUGGACCCCCCGCCCCCGGACUGCGGCCUCCCCCGCCUCCCCGGCCCUCCUCGCCCGCUGGGCCGGCCACCUGGUGCCAAAGCCGUGUCCCCGCCGGCCCCCCGGGAGGCCCAGGGCCGUGUGGAAGCUGGGAGGGCCCCUCCGGGUGGGGACGGGCUCCGGGCCGGGAGUCGGGCCGCCCCGCCUUGGAAGAGGAAGUUUACUAAGGACCCGGACAGACGCGGGGCCUCCAGCCUCGGCUUGAAAACUUCCCCCCAGACCAGCUCCCGGGGAAGGCCCUUUUGUCUACUUGUCGUUUGCGGGAAGCGUUGCGGAUUCCGAAGGCUUGAUUGCUUCCUUGUGGAAAGAAUAUGGCAAAGCCGACGCAAGAUGGCUCUAUUUCGACCCGACCAUUGUAUCCUUGGAAGUUCUGACUGUUGUCCUGGAUGGGUCCCUGGCCUUGGUCCUUGUUUAUGCCAUAGUCACAGAGAAGUAUUACCGGCACUUCAUACAGGUGACGCUGUGCGUGUGUGAGUUGUACGGCGGCUGGAUGACCUUCGUCCCAGACUGGCUCAUGGGAAGCCCCAACCUCAACACCGACGACUGGCUCUACUUUGGGGUCUACCUGGUAUUUUUCAACAGCGUGUGGGUUCUGAUCCCAGGACUGUUACUGUGUCAGUCGUGGGUGGAACUCAAGACCAUGCAUUACGGCCGGAGCGGCUCACGGGAGAAGCUGCAGUGACGCCUCCGAGUCGCAGCGCUGCUGUCCUCGGGGAGCCGGGGACAGGCCCCGCGUGUGGCGGCCUAGCGCUCCGCGUGCCGUCGCCUCCCACGCCUGCUCCUAAACGACCUGUUUCCAAUUGAUCGGUCGGUGGCAAGUGUUUGUUAUUGUUGUUUUUGUUCUUAUUUCAAUUCAGCGACAGUGCGGGGAACAGAGAGUCCAGUUUAGCUUGUAGUAGUAGCCCCUUUCCGUACGUGCCCUGAGCUAGCCCAGGUGUCCCACAGCAAUAAAGCCAAGUAUCAGAGAAUCCCGUAGAGCCUG